AACGAACGCUGGCGGUAGGCCUAACACAUGCAAGUCGAACGCUCCGCAAGGGGAGUGGCGCACGGGUGAGUAACACGUGGGAACCUACCUUCUGGCACGGAACAACCAAGGGAAACUUUGGCUAAGACCGUAUACGACCUCCGGGUGAAAGAUUGAUCGCCGGAAGAGGGGCCCGCGUCCGAUUAGGUAGUUGGUGAGGUAACGGCUCACCAAGCCUUCGAUCGGUAGCUGGUCUGAGAGGAUGACCAGCCACACUGGGACUGAGACACGGCCCAGACUCCUACGGGAGGCAGCAGUGGGGAAUCUUGCGCAAUGGGCGAAAGCCUGACGCAGCGACGCCGCGUGAGGGAUGACGGCCUCGGUU
rnacentral:rRNA from 1 species